rnacentral:rRNA from 1 species
AGCCCAGCUUGCUGGGUGGAUUAGUGGCGAACGGGUGAGUAACACGUGGGUGAUCUGCCCUGCACUUCGGGAUAAGCCUGGGAAACUGGGUCUAAUACCGGAUAUGACCAAGGACUGCAUGGUUUUUGGUGGAAAGGUUUACUGGUGCAGGAUGAGCCCGCGGCCUAUCAGCUUGUUGGUGGGGUAAUGGCCUACCAAGGCGACGACGGGUAGCCGGCCUGAGAGGGCGACCGGCCACACUGGGACUGAGACACGGCCCAGACUCCUACGGGAGGCAGCAGUGGGGAAUAUUGCACAAUGGGCGAAAGCCUGAUGCAGCGACGCCGCGUGAGGGAUGACGGCCUUCGGGUUGUAAACCUCUUUCAGCAGGGACGAAGCGCAAGUGACGGUACCUGCAGAAGAAGCACCGGCCAACUACGUGCCAGCAGCCGCGGUAAUACGUAGGGUGCGAGCGUUGUCCGGAAUUACUGGGCGUAAAGAGCUCGUAGGCGGUUUGUCGCGUCGUCUGUGAAAACCCGCAGCUCAACUGCGGGCUUGCAGGCGAUACGGGCAGACUUGAGUACUGCAGGGGAGACUGGAAUUCCUGGUGUAGCGGUGAAAUGCGCAGAUAUCAGGAGGAACACCGGUGGCGAAGGCGGGUCUCUGGGCAGUAACUGACGCUGAGGAGCGAAAGCGUGGGUAGCGAACAGGAUUAGAUACCCUGGUAGUCCACGCCGUAAACGGUGGGCGCUAGGUGUGGGUUUCCUUCCACGGGAUCCGUGCCGUAGCUAACGCAUU